rnacentral:miRNA from 1 species
AAACAGACAUACCAAUGCAG